UACGUAGGUGGCAAGCGUUGUCCGGAUUUACUGGGCGUAAAGGGAGCGUAGGCGGACUUUUAAGUGAGAUGUGAAAUACCCGGGCUCAACUUGGGUGCUGCAUUUCAAACUGGAAGUCUAGAGUGCAGGAGAGGAGAAUGGAAUUCCUAGUGUAGCGGUGAAAUGCGUAGAGAUUAGGAAGAACACCAGUGGCGAAGGCGAUUCUCUGGACUGUAACUGACGCUGAGGCUCGAAAGCGUGGGGAGCAAACAGGAUUAGAUACCCGCGUA
rnacentral:rRNA from 1 species